AACACACUUCAUAUCGGUGCGGCAAUUUCCGGUCAGUUUAGUUGUUAUCGAGGAUAUAACGUUACUACCACUAUGUCGCAGUUUUUUACUAGGUGUCUUCAGGCCUCAAAUUAAUAUUAAUGAUGUACAUCGAAUUGUUAAAUCAGCUUCAGAGACUCCAGCUAGCAAGAAUGAAGAGGGGUUCGAGAUGUAUAUAGGAAGCUACAUAGACAACUACGAAGUAUCUAACAAAGAUACAUUGACAGGGGAGAUCACCGUGAGGGCUGCCUGUCACAGGUCCAUGAGGAAGAGUGAAAAGCUGCACAGCAUGAGAGUAGGGAAGGUUAUAGAUAGCUACUAGGGACCUUGUUAAACAUCUCCUGUGAGACACUGUCAUCAUGGUCAAAAUGUGUUUGAGACAGUGUCAACGUUUAAUCUUAUCAGUAGAUAGAUAUUAAUGAUGGGUCCCAAUCCCAAUUUAGAAUUGCCCACUUUACCAAAUAACCUGUUAAGAUCUGUUGAUGCAGUGUUUGGUAAUUGUGUUAUUGAGACACAAUCUAUUCCUGUAUAGUUAAAUGAGCCCCUAGUUAAUAAGACUAGACACUACUAUGUUUAUUGUUAUUUAUGGGCCUCAUCAUUCUUGUUUCUCACUUCAGUCACUUCACUUAUCUUCACAGAUGGUGUUAAAGCACUCCGUACCAGUGAUAGUGGUCCAAAGCCACUGCUCCUGUGUUGCAGGAAGUGCUCUGUGCAAUCAUCUGGUGGCCCUUUACCAGACAGCGCACUACUCUCAAUGAAACAUUCCUGCUGCACCACCAGUUCACAGCUGCACAGACACAGAACAGCGUUGGCACAAGCCAAGAACACUUGGUGUGAAGCCAGGUCCGGUUGAUGGGAUAGAGUUCCGUAAACCAACUAACUCGUGUGCUGAUGGAAUAAGAAGUUCUCUCUACAAAGCACUCAAUGGAUACAUGCCUGACAUGGACCUUCUCCGCGUCUCAGAACCGUAUGGCAACUUUUCUCCACUUACUGCCCCUCUUGUGACAACAAUGGAAAUGUCAGCUGACCUGCCCCUGGUUGAGUCCGCCUUUGGGCCAGUGUAAGCCGGCAGUGUGCUGUCCUAUCAGCUUCCACAGCCAAAGACCAGUGAAAUUGUGAAGAUUGCCGAUGUCACUUAUCCACCAAUACUUCCAUUAGAUGGCUACAGGCUUCAGGCUUCCCAGUGUGCUUACGUCCUUAGCCAUCAGGAGCAGUUGCACCUCAAGGCGUUAGAGACAACCUACGAGAUGUCACACAAAGUCAAGGUUGCUACAAGGGAGCGGAGCAGCAGCCCGGAAUGGCAUCAGCUCAGGAAAAUGAGAAUAACAUCAUCUCGCUUCCAAGAGGUUUGCCAAGGUUUGCCAUGUCCGGGGAGAGACCUCAGCUGACCAUCUAGCUGAGCGGAUGUUCAAGGGAUCUGGUAUGCAGACCAUGGAUAUGAAGAGGGGGCUAGCCAUGGAGCCAGUGGCUGUACAGGGAUCAGGUAUGCAGACCAUGGAUAUGAAGAGAGGGCUAGCCAUGGAGCCAGUAGCUGUACAGGAGUACGGCACACUGAAGAAUGUUAACUUCUUUCCGUGUGGCUUCGUAGUGCACCCAGAUGCUCUGUGGUUUGGAUCCUCUCCAGAUGGAAUCAUAUUUGAUCCCAGUGUGAGACCACACUUUGGAUUCUUAGAGGUCAAGUGCCCAAAUGUACCAAGUUAUGUUGACUGCCCUUAUCUGAAGAUACAGAAUGGAGAGCUGAAGUUGAAGAGAUCUCAUGCUUACGCCUGCUCAUGCAGGUGCAAGGUCAAAUCCUUCUCACAGGUUGUAGCUGGUGUGACUUUGUCAUCUGUACACAGGAGGACAUCCUAGUUGAAAGGAUAUAUACAGAUCUACAGGUUUCAAAAGCUACAAGAGAGAAGGUUGACCACUUUUAUUUUUCCACUACUUGCAGAACUGUCUCUCGCACCUGAAUGGAUCCCCUGCAUGGGUGCCAAGUUUAGUGGUUUUAUGAAAAAUAAGUAUUGAUGUUCUUGUGAAGAAAUCUACAGUAGAAUAGAUUUGUUUAAAAAUAUAUAUAUUUCAGCAAAUGUUCAACAGUUCAGUUAAUCAAUUACACAUCUCUAACAUUGUAUUCAGUCUUGCAUUCUGGUUAUUCUGUUUACUUGAUUUCUUUCCCCCACCCCUGUUACUCAUUGCCUAAUUAAAGCCAAUACAAGCUCCACACAAACUGAUAUUCACUACAACACAAAUGACUGAUACAUGUCGUAGAUAAACAAAUUAUUAUUUUGCUGUUAGCAAAUAAACACAUGUACAUUUACACUGGCUUUGCCCAUGCUCUGGACCGGAUCAGAGACGCCACAGUCCAUAGGCAGCGCACCUUGUUCUUCAUCCCCCUCAGUUGGAGCAGGAGGUUUCAGUCAUCUUCCCCAAACACCAGGUCUCUUUUGAAUGUGCCAGUUCCACGCGAAGACAGUAGGAACAACACCUCUUUUUAGGUAUUGUCGCCCCCUAAUUUUCCCCCCAACAAAGUCACUUUCGACUAAAUGUGUACUACACACCUUUGUGUGUUUGGUGACAGCAAAGUUGUCAUGACGUACUGCCACCAACCACCUUUUUCUGAGCUCUUCAUCGACCGGGAAACGAUGGAAGCUCACAAUACCAUUACAUUUGGAAGAAACUAAACACAGAGGCACUGAACAAUGUUCAUUAGCACCUCCUUCGCGGGGCUGUAAUUUAAACAUAGUCAUUGCGAACUAUUUCAGCCAGAAAUGCAUCGACGAUAGCUAGUAAGCUAAUGAUAAAAACAAUAGCAGAACUCGCUCCGGAAGUCAUCAACCCAAUCGGAAGUAAAUUAGAACGUUGGAGGCUGUAUAAUGGAUAGAGCCUAUUGUGCUGCUAUUUUUAUUGACUUGGCCAAAGCUUUUGUUACGGUAGACCAUUCCAUUCUCGUGGGCCGGCUUAGGAGUAUUGGUGUCGUUGAGGGGUCUUUGGCCUGGUUUGCUAACUACCUCUCUCAAAGAGUGCAGUGUA